GACGAACGCUGGCGGCGUGCUUAACACAUGCAAGUCGAACGGAAAGGCCCUGCUUUUGUGGGGUGCUCGAGUGGCGAACGGGUGAGUAACACGUGAGUAACCUGCCCUUGACUUUGGGAUAACUUCAGGAAACUGGGGCUAAUACCGGAUAGGAGCUCCUGCUGCAUGGUGGGGGUUGGAAAGUUUCGGCGGUUGGGGAUGGACUCGCGGCUUAUCAGCUUGUUGGUGGGGUAGUGGCUUACCAAGGCUUUGACGGGUAGCCGGCCUGAGAGGGUGACCGGCCACAUUGGGACUGAGAUACGGCCCAGACUCCUACGGGAGGCAGCAGUGGGGAAUAUUGCACAAUGGGCGGAAGCCUGAUGCAGCAACGCCGCGUGCGGGAUGACGGCCUUCGGGUUGUAAACCGCUUUCGCCUGUGACGAAGCGUGAGUGACGGUAAUGGGUAAAGAAGCACCGGCUAACUACGUGCCAGCAGCCGCGGUGAUACGUAGGGUGCGAGCGUUGUCCGGAUUUAUUGGGCGUAAAGGGCUCGUAGGUGGUUGAUCGCGUCGGAAGUGUAAUCUUGGGGCUUAACCCUGAGCGUGCUUUCGAUACGGGUUGACUUGAGGAAGGUAGGGGAGAAUGGAAUUCCUGGUGGAGCGGUGGAAUGCGCAGAUAUCAGGAGGAACACCAGUGGCGAAGGCGGUUCUCUGGGCCUUUCCUGACGCUGAGGAGCGAAAGCGUGGGGAGCGAACAGGCUUAGAUGCCCUGGUAGUCCACGCUGUAAACGGUGGGUACUAGGUGUGGGGUCCAUUCCACGGGUUCCGUGCCGUAGCUAACGCUUUAAGUACCCCGCCUGGGGAGUACGGCCGCAAGGCUAAAACUCAAAGGAAUUGACGGGGCCCCGCACAAGCGGCGGAGCAUGCGGAUUAAUUCGAUGCAACGCGUAGAACCUUACCUGGGUUUGACAUGGAUCGGGAGCGCUCAGAGAUGGGUGUGCCUCUUUUGGGGUCGGUUCACAGGUGGUGCAUGGCUGUCGUCAGCUCGUGUCGUGAGAUGUUGGGUUAAGUCCCGCAACGAGCGCAACCCUUGUUCACUGUUGCCAGCACGUUAUGGUGGGGACUCAGUGGAGACCGCCGGGGUCAACUCGGAGGAAGGUGGGGAUGACGUCAAGUCAUCAUGCCCCUUAUGUCCAGGGCUUCACGCAUGCUACAAUGGCUGGUACAGAGAGUGGCGAGCCUGUGAGGGUGAGCGAAUCUCGGAAAGCCGGUCUCAGUUCGGAUUGGGGUCUGCAACUCGACCUCAUGAAGUCGGAGUCGCUAGUAAUCGCAGAUCAGCAACGCUGCGGUGAAUACGUUCCCGGG
rnacentral:rRNA from 1 species